rnacentral:rRNA from 1 species
UGAUCGAUAGGGUGGAAGCUGUCUGAGAGAUACAUACGCGUAGUGAUGGCCCUCUGGAGUCCAACCUCCCACCCAUGUGUAUUGUACCUUGUUGCUUCGGCGGGCCCGCCUCACGGCCGCCGGGGGGCUUCUGCCCUCUGGCCCGCGCCCGCCGAAGACACCAUUGAACACUGUCUGAAGAUUGCAGUCUGAGCAAUUAGCUAAAUAAGUUAAAACUUUCAACAACGGAUCUCUUGGUUCCGGCAUCGAUGAAGAACGCAGCGAAAUGCGAUACGUAAUGUGAAUUGCAGAAUUCAGUGAAUCAUCGAGUCUUUGAACGCACAUUGCGCCCCUUGGUAUUCCGGGGGGCAUGCCUGUCCGAGCGUCAUUGCUGCCCUCAAGCACGGCUUGUGUGUUGGGCCCCGUCCUCCUUCCCGGGGGACGGGCCCGAAAGGCAGCGGCGGCACCGCGUCCGGUCCUCGAGCGUAUGGGGCGUUAUGUCACCCAGCAUCUUAGUAGGCCUGGCCGGCUGCUUGCUGACAACCAUCAAUCU